UUUUCUUUUUACUAUUCUAUGCAUUUUGUAAGGCUUCCCAAAUCUUCUGUGGGAUUACGCAGAGUAUAUAAAUAAAAUACACACACUACCUCCAGACUCACUCUUUGCAACUGUUAUUAUAACAUCUCCUCGUACACCUUAACUUGUGAUUAGUUCUGUCCAUGGUCAUCUCUUGUACUUAUCUGUGACCUCAUUGCACAACUGAAUCUUCAUGUCUGAAUUUCUUAUAGCACAUGGAAUCAUGUGUUUGAUGAAUAGGCAUUUCAUAAAUGUCUGUUGUUCACAAUGAUGUCUAUGUGCAUCCGUGAACAUAAUUUCUGGCCAACUGGCUAUCAGCAGUGUUUUGGUUGUCAUAAGCAGACUGAUACUAACUGGAAAUGCAUCCAUUCCAAAUAUACAGUGUUUACAGACAUAUCCAAUUAACUUUUAUUAUCCCUGAUUUGUAUAUAACAAUUAGCUGUGCCAUUGUUUGCUGCCAUAUGGAUUACCCCCAACACAAUAAUAAUUUAUUAGCUUACAGAGAAAAGAAAUUUGAUAGGAAGAAGAAAACAACAUGUAAUGUGAAAUAGACUCCCCAUUCAACUUGAGAACUAAGGCUGGCUACAACCUCACACGACCUAAGGUUGAGGGUUGGGAAGGUCAAACUUGAAGGCUUUAAAUUGUCAGGGACAAGAACAAUUCUCUGACGGAAUUAAGAUGGAGCAAUGGCCAGGAUACCUGAAUAAUGCCCAAACCCAGCCUCCAUCACUGGUAUUAACUUGAGUCCAGGAAGGAAUUAGAGGAUACACUCAACAUGAGGACUCCAGGCCUGAAGAGUCAAGCAGAGACAGCGGUUAUCAGAACUGGAGAGAAAGCUACAUGGAGUGUGUCUCCGUGACUGGAGCUGGGGCCUUUGGAAGAAGGACACAGCAAAUGGUAUGCUGGCAAAGGUUUAACAACUGGCUCUCUGAAGAAAAAUUAAAAUUAAAAAAAAACAAAACACUGUUUUGUAGCAUUGGCAGUUUCUCCGGUGUAAAUGUUUUCAUCAAGCUAUGAAUGUGAAGUCGCUAAAUAAGGAGUUGGAAAGUGGUCCGUACCCGUGGCUAUCAAAAGCUGAUAUAAGCAGGCUCCAGCACACCGCCGGACACAGCCAACCCUCCAGGACCCUGCAGGGAAGGAGCCUGGGGAGUGAACAGUCUGGACCCAUUCUCCUCGUAGUCACUUGCAGAAGCUCUCAUAGGCUGAACUCAAUGGAAACCAAAAGGUAAAGACACGACUGAGCAGUUCUUGCAGCCAGUCUCUUGGGGCACAUAGCAGGUGGGACAGCAGAGAGGGGAAACGGCCAAGUAGUCGAAAGCUAGCCAGCAUGGCUAAUAGGAGUUUCAUUUGUUCUUUUAAAUUUUGAUUUCAGAUCAAGUAUUUGCAGUCACUGUGAUGGCAUAAGGGAGACAGGGUCAGGUUAACUGAAGGCUCCAAUGAGUGAGGUGUGUGUUUCUUGAGGUAUUGAAGCAGGCAACUGUGGUCUGGACAUGAUAUAGAGAGUCAAGGGCCAUCAAACAGGGCACAUGGUGGAUGCUCAUCCCUGUUUGGAAAGAAUAGCUUGCAAAGAGCCUAAAAAGAAGGGAUUACAAGUUAAAUUCAUUCAUUCAACAACUAAGUCAUUCACUCCAUGUUGGGUAUCCACAGUGUAGUCCUAUGGCUACUAGGGCACUCAGGAUGCAAAGAGAGAUACAAUCCUGUGGAGCUUGCAGACUGGGAGAGGGACGACAAAAUUCUAAAAUAAAAAUUGUGCCAUUGCACCCUUCUAACAAAAUCAGUGGAUUUCUAUUGCCCAAGAAUAAGCCCUAAAUUCCCUAUCAUGGCCCACAAUGCUGGGCCUCCCUGCUCCAUCUUCAUCUCCUGCUCCUUUCCCCUCCCUCUCUGUGCAAGUCACCUCAGCCUUAGUGCUUUUCCUGAAACACCCCAAUGUCAUUCCCACCUCAGGCUCUUUGUCCUUACUGUGCUCUCCUCCAGAGCUGAUAUCUCCCUGAGCUCAUGGCAUGCCUGAAUCUUCCUCCGCAGUUGGGUCUCAGUUCUGCAUUGGCUUCUCUGGGAGGCCUCUUCUGUCUGUCACUUGUCCUCCAGGGAAUAAUCAUCUUGGGUGAAGGUUGUGUUGAAGGUUGUGCUGAGUUCUUGACAUUCUCACUAUCUGAGUAUCUGUCAUGAGACAACAGCCAGUCUUGCACAGCAGGACCAUCAUGAGGUCUCUUCCACUUUGGGUACAGUUGUAGCUUCACGGGGCCUCCAGUGAGGGUGCAAACUCCUAUACUCUUAUCUCCCUCAUGAGUGUGUCUCAGAGACUAGGGAGCUGAGUAUGUAGCAGUGAGAAGGCUCAGUAAUAGAAUAUGCAUGAUCGAUUUAUUUAAUUACAUUGUGAUAUAUUGAUCUAAUAUUAGAAAACAAGUCCAAAAUGCCAGAGAUAUGUCAUGUUCACUAUUUUUACCUCCAGCACAUAGUAGGUGCUUAGUGAGUACUCAAUAAAUUUUUGAAAGAAUAGAUAGGUUAAGGAAUAAAGAAUGAGUGACAGCUUUUCAAUUUUAGCCACAAAGAGGAAUCUGGUCACUACCUAGAUAACAAAAGAUGUGGACAAAAAGCCAAGAAGCCUGAGAGGAGAAAGAUAAUAGAUGCCCAAUAGGAGCUGUUGUGCACACCACAUGAGGAAUGCAAGUAGGGGAUUUCUAAUUAGAACUUCCUAAAAUAGGAAUACUCUUUCAUAUAAUUCUCGAUAUAUUCUAGCAGAAAAAAAUCAGCUCGAAUAUGGCAACAGGUACACUUCAGUGAGGCUGGGGGAGGCAGAUCAAAAGUUUGAGCUUCAGAUAUUCCUUUGAAAUUUGUUAAUCUGAUGAAUAGGAAAUUUUCAAUCAAGUUUCCAACUAAUAAAGCGAGCUCCCCAAGGCCUCGGGGCUUGCAAUGAUGCUGUUUCCCCUUGUUCGAUGCCCUUCCUCUUUCUUUCUCUGGUGAAUUCAGCAUGUGCAUCUGAGGCCAGCUCUUUUGUGUAAGCCUUGAUGAACCCAGCUUUGUCAUCUCCACAGAGAUCAUUUCUCACAUCACCUGCCAAGGUGUUUGCUUAUAUAUCUGUUUUCCUGCAAAAUUAUCAACCCUUUCAAGGUAGAGUUCCUGCUGCCUUCUCCGGUUCUGUCCCUUACCCAAGGGUCCCACAUAGAGCCCUGCAAAAAGUAGUUACUCAAAACCACCUGCUGCUUGACUCAUUGACAGAGGGCCUGAACAGAUGUGCAACUGGGCAAAUGAGGAGGGAAGAAGAGACCCAGUAAAUGAGUCAAUGGAGACUGUUUGCACUUGAGACUACAUGGAACAAGCAAAUAUAUGAAUAAAAAAAUGAGUAAAACAACGAAUACAUAAAUAAGUGCAUGAGUGCACUAAAAGCACUAAUCUCUGUCAGAUUUCAAAGUAAACCCAUACCUUCUUCUUUCAACAUUUACCUAGCAAUGAGAGAGAACAGCCAUGAUAGGGAACAGCUACUUGUGGCUGGUGGUAGAUUCAUGACUUACCCUUUCACCACCCAAGAGUAAAUGAACUCGGAAGACCACAGCAUCAUUUAUGGGUACCUCUUCAUUCCGGUAUAAGAUCUGAAAGACCCGGCUGUGCACGGUGCUGUCAUGGACACAGGCUGAAUGCAGGCUGCUGCUCUCUGCAAAACAAGAAUCAGUAGGAACCCAUGAACUCCAAUACUGUCCUGUACCUGCAGCCCUGUCAGGUGUCUUUCCUGCUCAAGUAGGCUAAUGGCCCCAAGCUGCCUUCCAAUUUCCAAAGCUUAAAAUCACAGUAAAUGAGACCUCACCAUAUGAAUGUUUCUGUUUAUUGAGUCAGGCUGGUAUCUCAGAAAAACCUUGUUCCAUCCCUUACAAGCGAUAAAAUCUUGGCUAAGUCACUCAUGCCGUGGGCAAUGCUCCUGGGCUGCUAUGCAGUGCCUGCUCAACUUCUCACCUGUUCACCUGUCCCCUUCUCUGUGAAGCAUUCCAUAAACCUCCUCUCCCAGAAACAAUGAGGAGAAGAACGGGGAGUAAAAGACAGAAAACACCCUUCCUUCUACAAGGACUUCCUAGUGCCCAUAGAGUCUCUCCCUUCUCAAAGGUGCUGCUUGCACAUCAUGCAUGUCAUGAGAACACUCUGUCUUGCGUUUUAGGAAAAUGUGCUAAUCCUAUUAUGCUGUAUAUCAAGUUUUAAAGGAAUUGGUUUAGCUCUGUAUCCUCCAGUGCAUUCUAGAUAUACUAUAUCCCUAAACGGUACUUCAAAGUUAAGUUAUAUUUCAACAAGACAAAUCUAUGCAAUGCUUCCACUGUCCAGGGUUAUUUGGGGGAACAAAUGGGUGAACUCCUCCAAAUUACUUAACACAUAAACUAUACAGUUGGAGAUACGUGUAAAAAAUAUAUAUAUAUAUUAUUCUAAAAUAAAUAGCACUGCCCAGGGUUAUUGUGGGGGAACAAAUGGACGAACUCCUCCAAAUUACUUCACACAUGAACUAUACAGUUGGAUAUACAUGUAAAUACAUAUAUAUACACACACACACACAUACACACACAUACACACACGCACAUACAUAUGCGUAUAUAUACAUACUAAAGUAAAUAAUACUAAUAUUUGUAUAAGGCAAUGAUUACCUAUUGAUUACCUAUUUAUAAUAGGGAACAACUAUAUGGCAUUUUACAAGUUCUAAAGUGCUUUUCAAUUGUGGUUACUUUCCUUAAUUAUCAUAACAAACCCAUAAGGUAAAUUUUACACCAGAUGAAGAGACAAAGGCUCAAAGCAGAGGCAGGUGCCUAAAUAUGCACUUGUUAUGAAUGUUUAUGUCUCCCCAAGAUGCAUAUCUUUCACCAAUGUGAUUAUAUUUGGAGGAGGAGCCUUCAGGAGGUAAUUACAUCCUAAGGGUAGAGUUCUCAUAUAUGGGAUUAAUGCCCUUAUAAAAAGAGGCCAGAGGUCUGUUCCCCUCACCUUUCCCACCAUGCAAGGAUACAAUGAGAGAAGUCAUCACUCUGCAAACCUGGAAAAGGACCCUCACCAGAACCUGACCAUGCUGGCAUCCUGAUCUCAAACUUCCAAUCUCUAGAACUGUGAAAAAUACAUUUCUGUGGUCAAUAAGGCACCCAGUUUAUGGCAUUUUGUUAGCAGACUGAGAUGGAGCAUUGCUAUAUAAUGAAGCAUUGUGUAGAUUCAUCCUCACAUCUACCUCUUUAGUAAGAGAGAAAAUGAAGUCUCCAGUGAAAGAAUAAAAUGCAUCUAUUUCCUAGCAAAGGGUGGGGACUCUAUAAAACAGUACUGAAAGAAUUAGUUUGACUGAAAUGGGAGCCAAGAAAAAAAAAAAAAAAACAGCCCAACUAGCAAAGAAAAAUCCUAAGUACCUUGUACACUGUCUCUGGAUGAGUCAAAGAGUUCUUUGAAACAGGGACACAGGAUCACAGUCACCUCCCAAUGCAGUCACAUCUAAACAAACACCUACCUUGUAGCUUCUGAGCAAGGAAUACAAAAUAUGUAAAAUGCCAGGUUGUUUCCAAGGCUACUCAGAUGUGCCUGCUCUAAUUUGCACUUUGUCAUGAAGGCAAUAAAAUUACUGGCCUAAUGCAGUUCUAUUUAGACCUGCUGUAUUCAAAUUGAUGCGGCUAUUAAAUAAAA
rnacentral:lncRNA from 10 species